AUCGCUUCUCGGCUCUCUGAGCUAAGAUCAUGUGUAGUAUCUGUUCUUUGCAGUGUAAUUUCUGCAACGGUCUCUAAACUGAGACCAAUGAAAUUACCUGUAUUUUUCACCUCCGGACGGGUGCUGUGAGCUUGCUCAACCCCGUCCACGGGUCGGCCUCGUAUUGCAUUGCCUCGAGGAUUGGAAGCUUG
rnacentral:snRNA from 11 species